GACGAACGCUGGCGGCGUGCUUAACACAUGCAAGUCGAACGGAAAGGCCCUGCUUUUGUGGGGUGCUCGAGUGGCGAACGGGUGAGUAACACGUGAGUAACAUGCCCUUGACUUUGGGAUAACUUCAGGAAACUGGGGCUAAUACCGGAUAGGAGCUCCUGCUGCAUGGUGGGGGUUGGAAAGUUUCGGCGGUUGGGGAUGGACUCGCGGCUUAUCCGCUUGUUGGUGGGGUAGUGGCUUACCAAGGCUUUGACGGGUAGCCGGCCUGAGAGGGUGACCGGCCACAUUGGGACUGAGAUACGGCCCAGACUCCUACGGGAGGCAGCAGUGGGGAAUAUUGCACAAUGGGCGGAAGCCUGAUGCAGCAACGCCGCGUGCGUGAUGACGGCCUUCGGGUUGUAAACCGCUUUCGCCUGUGACGAAGCGUGAGUGACGGUAAUGGGUAAAGAAGCACCGGCUAACUACGUG
rnacentral:rRNA from 1 species